AUUCACCAUCUAUUGCCCAUGUUUGAGUUGUUCAAAGACAUCACUAUUUUAGAAUUUAGUGAUCUCUGUUUGAAGGAACUAGUGAAAUGGAAGCAUAGGGAGUCAGAAAACUAUGACUGGACUCAUGCCUUAUCGAUUAUGAAAGAAUUGCAAGGUUCAAGGUAAGGAUCAUGCUAACAGUCCUGUUUUUGCUGACUAUAGAUGUAUAGUUAAUUACUGUGACCGACCACCUGGCACCCCGACUGGGUACCUCUGCCAAUUUACUCUUCCUAGCUGACCCUGAGAACCAUAAGCACCGCACCGGACACUGUAAGCACCGUAGACCCCACGAACCGCGCAGCUUGGUUGGGGUCUCGCCGUCUCUUCCCACCCUGGACCAAACUCCUGGAUCCCGGGACUCAGUGGGAAGGCCUCUCCUCCAAGAGAGUUUAUCUGUGAAGCUCUUACACAAGCUAGUAGUGAUGGCAGUAUAACAAGAACUCUUUGUAUAACAGUAGAACUCUGUGUUGAGGGUAAAGUAAGACUGAAUUUUAAUGAUGCCACACUGGCCUUUUAUGACAAUCCCCAUGCAAGGGGUACGCCCACAUGGACCUUGUUGGGGACUCCAGCACAAAGACACAGACCAAUAAGAACAGUGAUUAAAUACACAACACUCCCAUAACAAACAUACAAUCCAUCUUCUCUGCCUGGGAGAUAAUUGAGUCAGAUACUGUAUCAAUUCAAAAAACUCCAGGUAGAAAAAAACACAUAUUUUUAAAAAGUCCCAAAAGUACCCCAAAACACAUAGUAUCCCCACAAAUGUUACAUCCCCUGAUAGCCCUGAUCAGGCUCACCAAAAUGUCCAAAAAUCACCCAGAUCAGUUCAGGAAUUCAGGAAUUUUAUGUAAAUCAUUUAUUUGACCGACCGCAGGCAUGGUCCCAUAGCCGAAAGUAGUUCCAUAGAAUCAUGACUAAGUGCCGCUGGAGGACCGACCGGGAACCACAAGGUUUUCAUGCCGAAAAUAGUUCCAGGGCAUUCACGGCUAAGUCCCCCUGAAGUCUAUUCGCGGUUUUGGUCUAUGCAAACAAGAUGGCCGUAACCUUGUGGUCGAAUGGCACUUCGAAUGGCUUUGGGAGUUCGAAGUGCCGCUUCGAAAAUUCAAAUUGAUCCUGUUAUAAGUCUCAACAGUCACAAAUAACAUUUUCAACCAGGGUUUAGUCAAAGGGUAGGAGGAUGGCAAGUAUGCCCCAAGGACCUGUGAUGAGGUCCAAUUCAUCACAAUUACUUUAUUAAAACAUAAGAAGUUAUUGGGAAUUAAAUGACAAACCUAUCCAUGUAGUAGAUCAGGGACAGAAUUCAGGUCUUUUUGAAUAUUUAUUAAUUGUUUAUAUUCUCUGUCACAUAGACAUUCACAUAUCUCAAAAGAAUGGAUGGUCUCUCUAUACAGACAUUGGUUCUUAAUGUGUGAUUAGUGAAAUGUAAUAAAACAAUAAACAGUCCGCCGCUUCCCAAAUGUAGAGUGCUGUUAUUUUGAUAACAUUUUAUUAUCAAUUUACAAAAUAAGAAUAAAUAGAUUAUUUUCCGUGUGCAUAGCCCUACUAUACUUUAGGUAACAAAAUCAGUAGCAUGAUGCCUGAGCUUUGUAAUCCUAUUGAAGAGGCAUUGUCUUCAGGGGAAAUAUACCCAGCUGCUUUUGGCAUCAGAUGUUCAUUAAGUUCAUUAAGUGUGUUUAUUUUUACAUACAUGUUUAUGUCUAAUUGUUAUGUUUAAUUUUUGUAAUAUCAAAUAAUAUUUUGGAUAUACUGCUAUCAGUCUUUUUAAUAGGAUUGGAAAAUUCAAACAUUAUUUUCUUCAUGGAUGAUGCACCUCAUCAUGUAUCCUUGAUGACACUUUCCCACAGUAUGCACGAGUGUAUCACAGAGAUCCUAAGCAAUAAAACACUCUUAAGUUAAAUCACGGUGUGUAUGAGUGUAUCACAAAGCUCAACAGACAUAAACCUGUGAGCAAUGAUCAGUGUGUAUGAGUGCACUACAGAGCUCCAUAGUAAUACAUUUCACAAUCUUACCAAAACAAAACUCUCAGGAAUAGUUUAUCAGAGUAAUGAAAACACACAUUCUAUGUGUGCAGAAUAAGGGUGGAAAAUAAAAAGCAAAAAAAAAGUUAAAAUAUAUAUAAAUUUAAAUGAAUGUAACAAUAAAAAAAUAACUAAGUAAUCUCUCACAGGUGGUAUACAGGGAGUGCAGAAUUAUUAGGCAAAUUAGUAUUUUGACCACAUCAUCCUCUUUAUGCAUGUUGUCUUACUCCAAGCUGUAUAGGCUCGAAAGCCUACUACCAAUUAAGCAUAUUAGGUGAUGUGCAUCUCUGUAAUGAGAAGGGGUGUGGUCUAAUGACAUCAACACCCUAUAUCAGGUGUGCAUAAUUAUUAGGCAACUUCCUUUCCUUUGGCAAAAUGGGUCAAAAGAAGGACUUGACAGGCUCAGAAAAGUCAAAAAUAGUGAGAUAUCUUGCAGAGGGAUGCAGCACUCUUAAAAUUGCAAAGCUUCUGAAGCGUGAUCAUCGAACAAUCAAGCGUUUCAUUCAAAAUAGUCAACAGGGUCGCAAGAAGCGUGUGGAAAAACCAAGGCACAAAAUAACUGCCCAUGAACUGAGAAAAGUCAAGCGUGCAGCUGCCACGAUGCCACCAGUUUGGCCAUAUUUCAGAGCUGCAACAUCACUGGAGUGCCCAAAAGCACAAGGUGUACAAUACUCAGAGACAUGGCCAAGGUAAGAAAGGCUGAAAGAUGACCACCACUGAACAAGACACACAAGCUGAAACGUCAAGACUGGGCCAAGAAAUAUCUCAAGACUGAUUUUUCUAAGGUUUUAUGGACUGAUGAAAUGAGAGUGAGUCUUGAUGGGCCAGAUGGAUGGGCCCGUGGCUGGAUUGGUAAAGGGCAGAGAGCUCCAGUCCGACUCAGACGCCAGCAAGGUGGAGGUGGAGUACUGGUUUGGGCUGGUAUCAUCAAAGAUGAGCUUGUGGGGCCUUUUCGGGUUGAGGAUGGAGUCAAGUUCAACUCCCAGUCCUACUGCCAGUUCUUGGAAGACACCUUCUUCAAGCAGUGGUACAGGAAGAAGUCUGCAUCCUUCAAGAAAAACAUGAUUUUCAUGCAGGACAAUGCUCCAUCACACGCGUCCAAGUACUCCACAGCGUGGCUGGCAAGAAAGGGUAUAAAAGAAGAAAAUCUAAUGACAUGGCCUCCUUGUUCACCUGAUCUGAACCCCAUUGAGAACCUGUGGUCCAUCAUCAAAUGUGAGAUUUACAAGGAGGGAAAACAGUACACCUCUCUGAACAGUGUCUGGGAGGCUGUGGUUGCUGCUGCACGCAAUGUUGAUGGUGAACAGAUCAAAACACUGACAGAAUCCAUGGAUGGCAGGCUUUUGAGUGUCCUUGCAAAGAAAGGUGGCUAUAUUGGUCACUGAUUUGUUUUUGUUUUGUUUUUGAAUGUCAGAAAUGUAUAUUUGUGAAUGUUGAGAUGUUAUAUUGGUUUCACUGGUAAUAAUAAAUAAUUGAAAUGGGUAUAUAUUUGUUUUUUGUUAAGUUGCCUAAUAAUUAUGCACAGUAAUAGUCACCUGCACACACAGAUAUCCCCCUAACAUAGCUAUAACUAAAAACAAACUAAAAACUACUUCCAAAAAUAUUCAGCUUUGAUAUUAAUGAGUUUUUUGGGUUCAUUGAGAACAUGGUUGUUGUUCAAUAAUAAAAUUAAUCCUCAAAAAUACAACUUGCCUAAUAAUUCUGCACUCCCUGUAAAUAAGUCUCCAAUUAAUCAAAACAUCAUAAAUCAACUUCCCCAUGUUUGUUUUUUACUUUAUUGAUCCAAAAGGUUUCUUUCAUCCUAUUACUCUUUCUUUAGCUUACCAGUGACAAAAAAAGUGAUAUCCCCAAAAAUGCAAGCUUUCUUAAGUAAAAUAUGAAGAGUAUAUUUAUGAUUCUUAAUUUAAUCCGUAAUAAUAUUAAGCAAUAAUACACCCCCUCACACUCACAUAUAUAAAUAUGCAUAUAUAUUUAUAGUGUUAUGCAUUACUUGCACCCAGGUGGUAAUCAAGGUCAACAAUAUAGGAAGAAAUAUUUUUACCUAAAUAUAUACAUAGACAUGUUAUAAUAUUUGUUUACAUAUACUGUAACGGUUUUAUGUAGUGGUUGUGUUACUUAGACUGUUUCUUUGUAGAUAAAAAUUUAACCUCACCCUUUAACCCCCUUGUAGAAAUUAACAUUACCACUUGCCUUCACUGUCAAUCACAGUGAUGAUUCAUGUAACUUUUUGUGAAGAUACAUUCUGAUUUAUUGUGAAGACAUUCUUCACCAGAAAAGAAACAGCAUCAUUUAUGACGGAGUGUCAAUUCUAGUCUUUAGGAAGGUCGCAUGCAUGGGUUUCAGUAUGACCUCAUAUGAUGUACGUAGAAAACAUAGCAGCUCCGUUAGUCCAACCUUUACGUAACAUAAUAUAGCUUAGUAAUACAACCUCAUGUCAUGCAUUGUUAUAAUAAUUACAUAAAUAUAACAAAUAUGGGACUUCUGAAACAGUUCAACACAUUGAUUGUCUGAAACAAAUCCCUUUGAUUCGUAUUAAAACUCAUCAAUUUGUUCUGAAACUAAAUGGAAAAUUCCAGCCCAUAAAUACGACCAUCAAAUUAAUCGAUAUGUUUAUGGACAAACCGAACAUUUGCACAAGUCUAAUAGAUAUGUUGAACAAUUUGGCAAGACUUAUUUCCAAAUAAGUAAAAAUCAAUUCUGCUUAUAAACACAUACUACAGAUCACGUGUUAUAUGUGUCUCCAUUGUAUGUAUGUAUUAAACUUUUAGCCACCUGGUUAUAUUUUUCAGCUUUAAGGGCAAUGAAAUGGAAAACGCUUUAAGAAGAAAUAUCUCACACAUUCUAAAAUGUGAUUUCAACAAGGAAAAUAUUACAGAUCCAG
rnacentral:lncRNA from 1 species